rnacentral:rRNA from 1 species
UGAGAAUUAAAGGGCCGCGGUAUUUUGACCGUGCAAAGGUAGCAUAAUCAUUAGUCUUCUAAUUAAAGGCUGGAAUGAAUGGUUGGACGAGGUAUUAGCUGUCUCACUAAAAUGGACUAAAACUUAACCUUUUAGUUAAAAGGCUAAAAUGGUAUUGGAGGACGAGAAGACCCUAUAGAUCUUAAUAUUCUAAUUGUGUAGUCUUUUUAGAAGAAUUUAGACUUGAUAAGAGGAAUAUUUUGUUGGGGUGACAGGAAGAUAAGAUAAACUAUUUUUUAAUUAAACC